UUAUGUUUAAAAAAGCAGCAACAAAUGAACAAAAUAAUUUCUAUAGUGGCAGUCUUUGCAGCAGUUUUGCAAAUAAAAUGUGAACUAAACGGAAUUAAUCCAGCUGGGAAUAAAGUUUUAUAUGGUUGUAAUCAGUCAAAAUGCUAUGCUUAUUGUAGUUUCAUACCUGCUUAUAAUAAAAAUGCAAACAUCAAUACGAUUGAUAAAACUUGGUGGUGUUAUACAAACAAAAA